UAAUAACCAAACAAGGCAGGCAACCAGCGGACGGAGCACGCAGGCGCCGGGCGGGCUUUCGCCAGGCAGUUGUCUGAUAUUCGUUGAGAGAGUUACACGUAAAUACUUUGUUCCGAGUGUUUGCAUACCGCUCAGUAUCAUGACAUUGAAGGCUUUGCUAACUAGAAAAAUCACAUCCAGAAGAACAGCAAAGCGGUAUCAGCAGAAUGAUGCCACAUAAUUUCUUCAACUUCAACGACUCAGUGAUUACCAUGGCGAGACUGUGGCGGAUAGCAAAGGAAGGUGGCGGAGCACAGAACACUUUGAAGCAUUGUGUUCUGAGUCUGCGUGUUUCUUCUUGCUGGUGCACGGAGUAAAUAAACGGAAUCAACUUCUCGUCAAAAGAGGUACAGCAUGAUGUCAGCGCAUUGGUCAGUGUUACCUCAAUCUUUCUUUCUCCUCUCAUCGGCAAGAAAUGAUUUUUUUUUGCACCGCCACUUAUAUUUUCCAUUCCGUUCGACAUGAGCGCGAGAAUGGACUGUAUUUAUCUUUGCAAAUGACGUCCAUUACAGUGCAUGCGAUGUGGUGAUUUCCCAAGAAGACAGUAGUGAUUCCCGAGUAAUUUUGCUUUUGUUGUCAAGGUUUGUUUUUCAUUAUAUUUUCCUUCUGACUGAUAACUUACGAAUUUCCUUCAAAAGGUUUUUAGUUUCAUUUCUCGAUUUUACUUUACCCAUUUGUCUAAUUAUUGUAUACUGCCUCAAAUGGCUCUCAGUCACCUAACUCUCCAAAUAUUCAAGAUUCGCCAUUGGAAUUUACUCUCAAAAUAACUUAUGCAUAGUGUGCCACAGUCAAAUAUCGCUUUUCGGUAUAAAUUAUCAUAUUUGUUAACACUAGUAAUAUAUUAAGUCUUGGGUGCAUUAACCAACGAUUCGUUCAAGUAGUGAUUCUUUCUGGAUUAUCGAAUUAGAAUCAGUGGCUCUGUGCCUAGUAUGGUAAUAUUCGCAUCUUACCUGUGACACUCUUUGUGAGUCGAUAUAACGUACCUACACUGCCUCUUGGGAAGAGUUGUAUUAAACCGGAGGAAGAUCGAUAUGUUACAUGGGAUC